AUCAAGCGUUAAUUGACAUUACAGUCAAACAAGCAUUGACCUGAGUUUAAGUUGGCUUAACAUUGAGUUCAAGCAUGAGUUGACAUUAAACUGUUUAUGUUAAGAGGAUUGGGCUGGGUGCUGUGGCUCAUGCCUGUAAUGCCAGCACUUUGAGAGGCCAAGACAGAUGGAGUCUUGCUGUGUCACCCAGGUUGGAGUGCAGUGGCAUGAUCUCAGCUCACUGCAACCUCCGCCUCCCAGGUUCAAGUGAUUCUCCUGCCUCAGUCUCCAAGUAACUGGGACUACAGAUACACUGAAUGUGUUCCAGUUGUACUUUGGUUGACUCUGUGAUUUUCUUCACAGAAGAUCAUGCCGUCUACAAACAAAUAGGAUUUUACUUCUUUCUUUCUGAUUUGGAUGAGUUUGAUUUCUUUUGCUAUUUCAUUGCUCUGGCUAGGACAGCCAGUAUUGAUUGAAUAGAAGGGGUGGAGCAUUCUUGCAUCAUGUGAGAUCCUACAGGAAAAGCAUUCCAUUUUCCCUGAUUGGUUAUUUACACUGUGGUCAUUUCAUGGAUUGUCUUUGUAUUGUUGAGGUAAAUUUCCUUCUUUAUCUAUUUUGCUUAGGAUUUCCAUGAUGACUGGACGUUGAAUUUUGUGAAAUGCUUUUUCUCCAUGUAUUGAGAUGAUGUGGUUUCCAUCUUUCAUUCUGUUCAAGUGGAAUAUCACAUUAAAUUGCUUGAAUAUGUUGAACCAUCCUUACAUCUCAGAAAUAAGUGGCACUUGAAUAUCUACAAUCCUUUUUAUAUCGUCUUGAAUACAGUUUGCUAGUACAAGGGGUCUUCAGGAAGUUCAUGAAAAAUACAUAUUAUGAGAAAAUUGUGCAUGACGUCACAUUUUUUUGCACCAAAAUAAAAUGGUACAAAUUUGUUAUGUGUAAACAGGGUCUAGUUUGAGGCACUCAGAAGGGUAAGAUGAGUUUGAAAAGAGAAUCUAUCAAAGCAAUGUAAAUUCUGCUAAAAUUGAAAGAAGAAAAAAC